rnacentral:rRNA from 1 species
GGCCCUAGCUUGCUAGGUGUCCUUAGUGGCGAACGGGUGAGUAACGCGUGGGAACCUGCCCUAGAGUGGGGAACAACCUUUGGAAACGAAGGCUAAUACCGCAUACGCUCUGAGGAGGAAAGGCUUCGGCCGCUCUUGGAUGGUCCCGCGUCUGAUUAGCUUGUUGGUGGGGUAACGGCCUACCAAGGCGACGAUCAGUAGCUGGUCUGAGAGGAUGAUCAGCCACACUGGGACUGAGACACGGCCCAGACUCCUACGGGAGGCAGCAGUGGGGAAUAUUGGACAAUGGGGGAAACCCUGAUCCAGCAAUGCCGCGUGAGUGAAGAAGGCCCUAGGGUUGUAAAACUCUUUCACUGAUGAAGAUGAUGACGGUAAUCAGAGAAGAAGCCCCGGCUAACUCCGUGCCAGCAGCCGCGGUAAUACGGAGGGGGCUAGCGUUGUUCGGAUUUACUGGGCGUAAAGCGCACGUAGGCGGCGUAUCAAGUCAGAGGUGAAAGGCCUGGGCUCAACCUAGGAACGGCCUUUGAUACUGGUAUGCUUGAGUUCGGAAGAGGGUAGUGGAAUUCCAAGUGUAGAGGUGAAAUUCGUAGAUAUUUGGAAGAACA